AGAUACCAGGGUCAAAAGGCCGGAAAUCCGAUGCAGGCUUGCUUGCAAGAGGAUUUUUGACCUUGGGACCCCAACAUCAUGAUAAGGAUUGGAAACGUGCGCCGCACGAAACAAUCCCAUUUUA
rnacentral:sRNA from 1 species